rnacentral:rRNA from 1 species
AAAAGGCGGCGUAAGCUGUCGCUAAAGGAUGGACCCGCGGUGCAUUAGCUAGUUGGUAAGGUAACGGCUUACCAAGGCGACGAUGCAUAGCCGAGUUGAGAGACUGAUCGGCCACAUUGGGACUGAGACACGGCCCAAACUCCUACGGGAGGCAGCAGUAGGGAAUCUUCCACAAUGGGCGAAAGCCUGAUGGAGCAACGCCGCGUGAGUGAAGAAGGUUUUCGGAUCGUAAAGCUCUGUUGUUGGUGAAGAAGGAUAGAGGUAGUAACUGGCCCCUAUUUGACGGUAAUCAACCAGAAAGUCACGGCUAACUACGUGCCAGCAGCCGCGGUAAUACGUAGGUGGCAAGCGUUGUCCGGAUUUAUUGGGCGUAAAGCGAGCGCAGGCGGAAAGAUAAGUCUGAUGUGAAAGCCCCCGGCUUAACCGAGGAAUUGCAUCGGAAACUGUGUUUCUUGAGUGCAGAAGAGGAGAGUGGAACUCCAUGUGUAGCGGUGGAAUGCGUAGAUAUAUGGAAGAACACCAGUGGCGAAGGCGGCUCUCUGGUCUGUAACUGACGCUGAGGCUCGAAAGCAUGGGUAACGAACAGGAUUAGAUACCCUGGUAGUCCAUGCCGUAAACGAUGAGUGCUAAGUGUUGGGAGGUUUCCGCCUCUCA